UUAAUCGCUUAAUCGCGGUUCAAUCGAUAGCCUGCCUGUUGUACAGGUCAAUAAGCUUGUCGCCAACUUUCCGAUGAACACCAGCCAAAGUGAAAGAGGUCCAAAUCGGCCCUUGUGAACGCGCUCAGAAUGGUCAACAUUCUCGUCUACGAUUUGUCUUGGAGCUAUUAGGUCCGGCGAGACAACUACCGGUGUCCCCUUGUUGAAUUGCCCGGUCCGGCGGAAAAUCCCUUCAGAACAGAAACGUCACCAUCUACCCCCAGCGAGAACUACACUGGAAACGUCUGGUCCGACAGAAUAAGCUCCCGGCAAGGCUCCCGGAUUAAUACCCUCAACGAUAGCCUGCUAUCUGGCCAAGGAAUCGUCAGCAACUUUCCGAUGAGCGCCUGUCGAAUUGAAGUACCCAGAUCCAAAUCGGUCCUUCUGGACGGGCUGAGAAUCGAUCCGACGGAACAACUUUUUGCGUCCCCGUCUUGUUGGAAUGGCCCAGUUCGGCAGAAACCCCCUUCCGGAAUAGGAACGUCCCCGGUGAACUCAAGCCGAAUUGAAAGACGUCCAAAUCGGUUCUUCCGGACACGCUGGGAAUGGUCUGGCGGAACAACAUUCCCGCCUACGAUUUGUCCUUGGAAUUAUUAUGUCCAGCGGAACAAUUACAGUCAUGACUCGCUGGUUGGGGGCUUAAUAGUUGGGUGACUUUUUAGUUGGGGCCCCGUUAGUUGGGCUGUCAGCCAACUAAAAAGUACCUGGAUGUCAUAAUUCAAUGUCAAACUGAAAAUGACAACCAAUCUGUAAUUCCGAGGGGUGAGCUAAUGAGUUUUUGGUUUCUUAAACUUUACUAAUAAUCGAAAAGAAUUUCUAUUUUAUAUUUCUUUAAAAA